rnacentral:rRNA from 1 species
GACGAACGCUGGCGGCGUGCCUAACACAUGCAAGUCGAACGGAGAACAGAAGGAUUGAGGCUUCGGCGGAUUGAAAUCUGUUCUUAGUGGCGGACGGGCGAGUAACGCGUGAGUAACCUGCCUUUCAGAGGGGGACAACAGUUGGAAACGACUGCUAAUACCGCAUAACGUCAUCGAGGGGCAUCCCUUGAUGACCAAAGAUUUUAUCGCUGAAAGAUGGACUCGCGUCCGAUUAGAUAGUUGGUGGGGUAACGGCCUACCAAGUCGACGAUCGGUAGCCGAACUGAGAGGUUGAUCGGCCGCAUUGGGACUGAGACACGGCCCAG